AAUCAUCAUAUAUUAAUUAAUAAUUAAUAUUGCUACUCCCGUACAAUACGCAUUUAUAUUAUAUUUUGACUUUUUUGUAAAGAUUGCUACAUGCCACGUGCAACAUCCUUUCCUUUCUAUAAAUUCGCAACGACAAUCGAGGCCAUGACCUACUCUUAGUUUAAUUACUUAUUUUAUUAUCCUAGUUGUUUCCAUUUUGAGUUAUUUUUAAUUUCUUUGUGAAGAUGCACAUGUAGCAGGCUUCAAUUUAGGGCCUGAAUAUAAUAAUUUUAUUAUGGUCAAUUUGUAUAAAGUAUUCACUAAUUUUGUAAUUUUGCAAAGGUGGGUGGCUACUUUAAAUUUUAUAGAUUCGGUAUGAAUUUUUAACAAAUUAAUCAAAAUAUUCUUAUUUCUUUCUCUUUCUUUAUUUUUUUUUUCUUCCAAUGGUAACGAGGGCCCUGCCACCUCCUCUUCUUCCAUCUCCACCUCUGUCGGUUCCGGCGGUUCUCAGUGAUGGUAUCGAGGGCGGCGUCGCCUCCUCUUCCUUCGCCUUCUAGUCUGCUGGCGCCGAAGGAGUAGGAGAACUUUAAGCGGGCCCAAGUGAGGGCGGAGCAGACGGAGGCGAUGAGGUCAUUGCCAAAGAUGUGUUCGUCGCCCGUGACAGUGAGGAAAAAAGACGAGCCCAUCUCCAAAGAGCGAACAAAGAUGUAGAUGCUCGUGGGCACGGUGGAGAGCUCGAGCUCGGGAGGUUUUCGUCGUCGACGUUGCGCCGCAGUGCCGUUCGAGCGUGCGUUCGUCGUCGUAGCAUUGUGAUGAGGCCGGGAGAAGGUGUGAUUCCGCCGUUCUCGACGUCGCGCCGGAUUGGAUUUAGCUAGCGAGCUAUGUAUCGUCGCCGAGGUCGACCGUCGUUACGGGAGCAUGCCCAGUUAUCGCAGGAUCGUUCGGGACCUUCCGAGAUGCCUGAGCAUGCGGAGCCGAGUGCCCAGCGGGAGCAGAGUUUUCAACCGGAGACGAGUACAUCCCCUGACUUGAGUGCACAGUUAGCCGCCCUGACAGAGGUGACGAGGCGGCAGGGGGAGUUGGAGAGGAUGUGCGAGAGGCUAGCUUCGCCCCAGAGUUCAGCACCGAGGGCACCAGAGUCG